rnacentral:rRNA from 1 species
UGUGCCAGCAGCCGCGGUAAUACGGAGGGUGCAAGCGUUAUCCGGAUUCACUGGGUUUAAAGGGUGCGUAGGUGGGUUGGUAAGUCAGUGGUGAAAUCUCCGAGCUUAACUUGGAAACUGCCAUUGAUACUAUUAAUCUUGAAUAUUGUGGAGGUCAGCGGAAUAUGUCAUGUAGCGGUGAAAUGCUUAGAGAUGACAUAGAACACCAAUUGCGAAGGCAGCUGGCUACGCAUAUAUUGACACUGAGGCACGAAAGCGUGGGGAUCAAACAGGAUUAGAUACCCUGGUAGUCCACGCCCUAAACUAUGGAUACUCGACAUACGCGAUACACUGUGUGUGUCUGAGCGAAAGCAUUAAGUUUCCCCCUGGGAAGUACGAUCGCAAGAUUGAAACUUAGGGCCUCCUG